GUCCUCCAGGUCGUCCUGCAUGAAGUACGAGUCGUGUGCGCACCGAAUAUUCUUCCUGUCCUGAGCAGCGUCAUUGUACGCUAGAAGUGGAGAGCAGAGGCAAACCCAGGGAGCCAUAGAGGCCCAGCCAGCUCCAUGGAGCCCCAAUCACCCCACUCUGGCAUUGUGUCCCCUCAUGCACACUUGCCUCACAGGACACGCAGAGCAGACUUCAACUCAGGGCCCUUUUCUUCAGAGGACACAUGGGCCCCACUUCUCCACAAGUGUGCACGCACUGGUUGUGCAGCUUCAUUCAGCUCUUAUCCCUGCCUGAAGGUGAAGCGGUUCACUUUAUCCGUGAAACUGAGACUUUCUUGAAAUGCAUUUGUCUACUGCAACACGUGGCAACAAGCGCCUGCUUCGUCAUAUUAGGGCUGCAACUAGCGACCGUUUUAGUUAGCGAUUAUUUUGACGACUAAUCGGAUAAGAAAUUGGCAUAUUCUUCAGAUUUUUCAUUUUAGACUUUUUAUACUAUAUUAGAAAUACACAAAAAUGCAAAUAAACUAAAUUUAAUUCCCUUUUUAGGUAUGGAAAUGAACAUUUUAUUGUGUAAAAUGGAAUAACACAGCAUUUGUUGAGUGAACGCUUGGUCAUUUGUAGUAACAUCAAUAAGUGAAAAAAACAUUUCUCCUAGACUUGACAUCAUGUCAAUUGAUAAUCAUCAAUUGACAUCAAUUGAUGAUUAUUUUUUGGAGCAAUAACGCUUAAUAGUUGAUUAUUUUGUACAGAAUUUGAACCAGGUGAAGCUAAAACUGCCACUUUAGGAGUUCUGGGUGGAUCGGAUUUAUAGAUACAGAGUUUUUUUUCUUAAAUGCAAAAUGUAUUUAUUUUUUGUACAGUUUUGACUCAGUAUGUUCUUUCAGCAAAAGGUCUUUUUUAGAGCCUCUGUACUCUAAGUUUAACAGUUAUUUGAUUCCUAAGUCAGGUGACAAUUAUUUCAAUAAUCGAUUAAUCACGAUUAAACCGAUUAAUCGUUUCAGCCCUACGUCAUAAAUGACUCAACAAACUCAUCCAGUCUGUGUCAAAUGUCUCAAUAUGCCAAUAAUCUUAAUGAUCGCAGCAAAACGGAAAUUGAUAUUUUCUAAAUUGGUAAAAAAAAUACAGUAUAAACAUCCAACAGUAUUUAAUUUGAUAUAAGUUUUACAUUUUUAUCUUAAAAAUCUGAUGAAAGGCAAAUGCUUUGGUAUAUAAGUGGCAAAAAAGUCUUUCUUUUAAAUUUCAAAACAGCGAGUGCAGUUUCUGUAAAAAAAGGACAGUAGCUGAUUAUUGGUUUCACAUGAGCCAGUCAAUCAGUACAACCCUAAUUCUUCAUUUCCUAAUUUUCUGCUGAUUCAAAAAAAUAAUUAAAAUUUUAAUUCUAAUUGGACAAUUUCUUUUGAUCAGCUCACACAAUCAAUCGGUAAGUCAAAUACAAAAGAAUUUUUUUCUUCUUCUUAGUAAAUGCAUCAAAACUGAAAGCUCCCUCUAUCUUCUGCCAACAUGUAAUAAAGGAAAUCAGAAAAAGUUAAUGGACGUACGCUUUAAUUCAUAGAGUUGAUUUUCCAAACGUACCAUUUUCUGCUGGAUUUAAAACUUUACAAUAAGGCUCUCAUUAUGGAUGGAUAAUAAAUAGUUCAUAGACAUGUUACUAAUUCAUCUCUAAACACUUUAUAAAUUAUUAAUAACUGAUCAUUAUACAUUAAUUAAGGAAAAGGAAAGGAGACAAAAUCUACUGGUUCCUUGCAAACUAGUGAGCCAAAUCUGUUCUCAUAUGUAUUUUAAUCUAGAGUUGUUACACUAAACAUUUCAGACUACACUGUAAGCACAAAAGCAUUUGUGAGCAUAAUGUUUUUUAGCUUCCAGUCUCAUUUGUACUCUUAUUUGUUAUUAAUGACUUAUAAAGUGUUUAUAAACUAUUUAUUAGCCAUCUAUUAGGAGAGUCUUAUUGUAAAGUGAUACCAAAACUCCUAUCUCUAACAAAAAACCUGGAACAAUUUCUUUCCCAAUUAUCAGAAUCAGAUUAUUUUCCGUAAUUACUCCUGAUGUAUUUGGGAGGUCAAAUACGAAAACAUCUUAUGGAAACUAAGAACUCCUGUUAUCUUCCAUCCAUGAAUGCAACAAGCAGUAAGUUGCCGUUUGAUUGCGCUUUUUCUAGCUUAAAAUAAACCAGAUAAAGACUAGAGACAUUUGCACUAAAGCAAAUGUUCUUGUAAUUAUUUCAUUUUAUGUUCAAGUUUUACUCAAUCAAGGCACCUGUAACAGCUUCGUUAACUUUUAAGUCUGUAAAACAAAA